AUUUCACUAUAUUGGUAUUGAGCACUCUACUCAUAUAUGAUUCCAAACUCGAUACUUGUCUAUAAUAUAUAUAUAUAGACAAGUAUCGAGUUUGGAAUCAUAUAUGAGUAGAGUGCUCAAUACCAAUAUAGUGAAAU